rnacentral:lncRNA from 1 species
CGGGGCGAGGCCGCCGCGGACGCCCCGUCGGAUGUGCCCUUCGCUGGGCCGAGCGGCGCAGGGUUGGAGAGGGAAGCGCUCGUGCCCACCUUGCUCGCAGGUGCCCUUGCUGACCUGGGUGAUGGCCUUCUCCCCGCGGCUCUCGGCCCUCUGGCUGGCGGCGCGCAGCUGGCAGCCGCUCGGGUAGGAGGCCGGCUCGCAGGGGCCGCAGGUGUCCGAAGAGGAGGAAGAGGAGAGGGGCAGGAGCAGGAGCAGCAGCCCA